UACGUAGGUGGCAAGCGUUUAUCCGGAAUUAUUGGGCGUAAAGCGCGCGCAGGUGGUUCCUUAAGUCUGAUGUGAAAGCCCCCGGCUCAACCGGGGAGGGUCAUUGGAAACUGGGGAACUUGAGUGUAGAAGAGGAAAGUGGAAUUCCACGUGUAGCGGUGAAAUGCGUAGAGAUGUGGAGGAACACCAGUGGCGAAGGCGACUUUCUGGUCUAUAACUGACACUGAGGCGCGAAAGCGUGGGGAGCAAACAGG
rnacentral:rRNA from 1 species